AUGUGAUUUAUAAGAUUGAGUUCAAAAGAUCUUGAUCAGGACAAUAUGAAUAGUAGAAAAAGAUUUUCAUCAUUUUCAUAUCAAAAACUUGAGUCAAAUAAAUUAAAUAUAUGAUAGAUGAUAGGAUUUGAUGAAUACUUUCAUAACCUCCAUCUAGUCGAAACUCACGAUAAAAGGAUUGUAUCAUGCACUAACUGUAUCUAGAGAUUCAUUCUAUUUCAUUCUGCUAGAUUGCCACUAUAUGUGCUAUG
rnacentral:lncRNA from 1 species